UACGAAGGGGGCUAGCGUUGCUCGGAAUUACUGGGCGUAAAGGGCGCGUAGGCGGACAGUUUAGUCAGAGGUGAAAGCCCAGGGCUCAACCUUGGAACUGCCUUUGAUACUGACUGUCUUGAGUUCGGGAGAGGUGAGUGGAAUGCCGAGUGUAGAGGUGAAAUUCGUAGAUAUUCGGCGGAACACCAGUGGCGAAGGCGACUCACUGGCCCGAUACUGACGCUGAGGCGCGAAAGCUAGGGGAGCGAACGGG
rnacentral:rRNA from 1 species